rnacentral:lncRNA from 1 species
UAGCAGCAUUGAAGCCGUCUUCAAGCUGAUGAGGGUAUUCUCGUCUCCCGAGGCAGGAGCAAUUUUGCCUUGUGCUGGCUUCGCCUUCUCCUCCUGAGCAGCAGCAGCAGCGCCUGCACCUCGCUUGGACCUGCUGGUCUUGUUCCUGGUCCUCUUGGCUGUGUCUCCUGCAUGGAGCCCCCUGCAGCGCACAUUUGGUGUGUUUGUGUCAUGACCUGGCAAGGAGGCACAGACAUCCUCGCACACUUCCUUCCACCACCAUACCUUUGGAUCACAUGCUAUAAGCAUGCAUGCAACAUACUCAACACAAUGCGAGCUCCCUUCAUGCAUGAGGGCUGACAAAGAGCUCACUUGUGCUCUUUGUGCUGCCGUGGGUGUGCGCCACGCUCAUGGUGUUUAUGCACACCAAUGAUGGCACCUGACUGCUGUGCAGAGAACACUCAAGCCCAGGGGCAUCCUCCUU